GGUGGUUCUCAGGUGACACACCCCAGAAUCAGGUUCCGUACUCUCUGGUACCGGGUGCAUCAACCGAGAACUGCA
rfam:Myotis lucifugus cont2.38266, whole genome shotgun sequence.